rnacentral:rRNA from 1 species
UACGGAGGAUGCAAGCGUUAUCCGGAAUGAUUGGGCGUAAAGCGUCCGCAGGUGGCUGUGUAAGUCUGCUGUUAAAGAGUGAGGCUCAACCUCAUAAAAGCAGUGGAAACUACACGGCUAGAGUGCGUUCGGGGCAGAGGGAAUUCCUGGUGUAGCGGUGAAAUGCGUAGAUAUCAGGAAGAACACCCGUGGCUAAGGCGGCUCUCUAGUACGGUACUGACGCUGAGACGCGAAAGCGUGGGGAGCGAACAGG